AGCUGGGAAUUCACCCACCCACGUAAGCACCUGUCAAAAAGUGACAAUCCCAAAAGAUGCAUUUCCUGUCUGCCACCUGAUUUCACUUUUAUUCUGAAUCUCGCUGCGGGCAGACCUGUGCAUCAGUGGAUAAAAAUUAUUAAACCAGUGACUUAACCUCGUGGAGGAGAAAAUUAGUGUGUGAUUUUUAUAAGAAUAGAGCGGAUUUUUGUCGCUGGAUGACCCUCGAUGCCCGUGGAUUUGGAGGCACCACCUGGCCCAACCCCGGCAUCCAUCAUAAGCACCAGCAUCACCACCAAGCUUCCGGGAUUAUUUUUACGACCCGUCGCCGAAAUUCCGCCGGCAACAUCAACCCCUCUGCCUGUGGAGUCUUGGAUUUUUUUUAUGUAUUUUUUUUAUAUAAAAUUAUAUAAAAUUACAAAUAUCACGUAACUACAACUAUUAAAUAUCCCCGCGAGAGAGGACAAAAAAA